AACGCACGAGACCUGCGGACCUGCGGAGGGAUCAUUAACGAAGCCAAUUUAUUUUGGCAUUAUUCUUUCAAUUCUGUGAACUUGAAAUUUGCUUUGGGUUGGAAGUUGAUUUAAGAAAGCUUUCAGUUUUUUUUAUUCUAUCUUCUACCCAACAUUUUAAACUCUUAACCUUUGAAUCAUGUCUGACUGAUUAAAUAAAAAAUUAAUCAAAACUUUCAACAACGGAUCUCUAGAUCGGAA
rnacentral:misc_RNA from 1 species